rnacentral:rRNA from 1 species
GACGAACGCUGGCGGCGUGCCUAAUACAUGCAAGUAGAACGCAGUUGCGCACGGGUGAGUAACGCGUAGGUACCUGCCUCAUAGCGGGGGAUAACUAUUGGAAACGAUAGCUAAUACCGCAUACUGUGAGAUGGACCUGCGUUGUAUUAGCUAGUUGGUGAGGUAAAGGCUCACCAAGGCGACGAUACAUAGCCGACCUGAGAGGGUGAGCAGCCACACUAGGACUGAGACACGGCCCAGACGCCUACGGGAGGCAGCAGUAGGGAAACGUCGGAAAUGGACGGAAGGCUGACCGAGAAACGCCGCGUGAGUGAAGAAGGGUUUCGGAUCGUAAAGCUCUGGUGUGAGGGAAGCGGUAACGAACAAGAAAGGGACGGCUAACUACGUGCCAGCAGCCGCGGUAAUAC